AGAGCGAACGCUGGCGGCAGGCUUAACACAUGCAAGUCGAACGAUCCCUUCGGGGAUAGUGGCGGACGGGUGAGUAACACGUGGGAACGUGCCUUUUGGUUCGGAACAACACAGGGAAACUUGUGCUAAUACCGGAUAAGCCCUUCGGGGGAAAGAUUUAUCGCCAUUAGAGCGGCCCGCGUCUGAUUAGCUUGUUGGUGAGGUAAAGGCUCACCAAGGCUACGAUCAGUAGCUGGUCUGAGAGGAUGAUCAGCCACACUGGGACUGAGACACGGCCCAGACUCCUACGGGAGGCAGCAGUGGGGAAUCUUGCGCAAUGGGGGAAACCCUGACGCAGCCAUGCCGCGUGAAUGAUGAAGGUCUUAGGAUUGUAAAAUUCUUUCAGCGGGGACGAUAAUGACGGUACCCGCAGAAGAAGCUCCGGCUAACUUCGUGCCAGCAGCCGC
rnacentral:rRNA from 1 species